CUGGCAUUAAAAACAGGUUUAGUUUCACAGUAGUCCCAGAGCAGAGACAUCAGACUUUUCAACAUCCUCAACAGCGUCAAGUCUGCUACUGCUAAAAAAAGGAAACAAAGAAAUUGCUGCAUCUGCUUCUAAUGAUUCUCAGAAGUACAAUGCCAUCUUUAGAAAACCCACCACUAAUGACCUUGAGGAUUUCAUCUUGACACAAUCGGAAUAUGAUUUGAUGAGAGAGGUAAACCCGAAUGAUCAAGUUGGAGGGGUCAGCGGCUGGAAUCGACCUUCCCCCCGACAAUCAAAGUUGAGAAGGUGGGUUAUCUCCAAAAAAGAAAACCCGACAACAUCUGAACUUUCUUCUAACAAAGAAAGAAAAUCGGAAUCGCUAAAUGCGCCUCUGCAAAUUAUCAUCAUUUCCCCUGAAAACCCACCGGAU